GGAAAAGGAGCAAUCCGCUUUGAGAUGGCCUCGCGUCCGAUUAGCUAGUUGGUGAGGUAACGGCCCACCAAGGCGACGAUCGGUAGCCGGACUGAGAGGUUGAACGGCCACAUUGGGACUGAGACACGGCCCAGACUCCUACGGGAGGCAGCAGUGGGGAAUAUUGCACAAUGGGGGAAACCCUGAUGCAGCGACGCCGCGUGGAGGAAGAAGGUCUUCGGAUUGUAAACUCCUGUUGUUGGGGAAGAUAAUGACGGUACUCAACAAGGAAGUGACGGCUAACUACGUGCCAGCAGCCGCGGUAAAACGUAGGUCACAAGCGUUGUCCGGAAUUACUGGGUGUAAAGGGAGCGCAGGCGGGAAGACAAGUUGGAAGUGAAAUCCAUGGGCUUAACCCAUGAACUGCUUUCAAAACUGUUUUUCUUGAGUAGUGCAGAGGUAGGCGGAAUUCCCGGUGUAGCGGUGGAAUGCGUAGAUAUCGGGAGGAACACCAGUGGCGAAGGCGGCCUACUGGGCACCAACUGACGCUGAGGCUCGAAAGUGUGGGUAGCAAACAGGAUUAGAUACCCUGGUAGUCCACACCGUAAACGAUGAUUACUAGGUGUUGGAGGAUUGACCCCUUCAGUGCCGCAGUUAACACAAUAAGUAAUCCACCUGGGGAGUACGACCGCAAGGUUGAAACUCAAAGGAAUUGACGGGGGCCCGCACAAGCAGUGGAGUAUGUGGUUUAAUUCGACGCAACGCGAAGAACCUUACCAAGUCUUGACAUCCGUUGACCGACAUAGAAAUAUGUUUUUCCUUCGGGACAGCGAGACAGGUGGUGCAUGGUUGUCGUCAGCUCGUGUCGUGAGAUGUUGGGUUAAGUCCCGCAACGAGCGCAACCCUUAUGGUCAGUUACUACGCAAGAGGACUCUGGCCAGACUGCCGUUGACAAAACGGAGGAAGGUGGGGAUGACGUCAAAUCAUCAUGCCCUUUAUGACUUGGGCUACACACGUACUACAAUGGCGUUAAACAAAGAGAAGCAAGACCGCGAGGUGGAGCAAAACUCAGAAACAACGUCCCAGUUCGGACUGCAGGCUGCAACUCGCCUGCACGAAGUCGGAAUUGCUAGUAAUCGUGGAUCAGCAUGCCACGGUGAAUACGUUCCCGGGCCUUGUACACACCGCCCGUCACACCAUGAGAGCCGGGGGGACCCGAAGUCGGUAGUCUAACCGCAAGGAGGACGCCGCCGAAGGUAAAACUGGUGAUUGGGGUGAAGUCGUAACAAGGUAGCCGUAGGAGAACCUGCGGCUG
rnacentral:rRNA from 1 species